rnacentral:rRNA from 1 species
UACGGGGGGAGCAAGCGUUGUUCGGAUUUACUGGGCGUAAAGCGUGCGCAGGCGGUUAUAUAAGACAGAGGUGAAAUCCCCGGGCUCAACCUGGGAACUGCCUUUGUGACUGUAUAGCUUGAGUGCGGCAGAGGGGGAUGGAAUUCCGCGUGUAGCAGUGAAAUGCGUAGAUAUGCGGAGGAACACCGAUGGCGAAGGCAAUCCCCUGGGCCUGCACUGACGCUCAUGCACGAAAGCGUGGGGAGCAAACAGG